rnacentral:rRNA from 1 species
GAGACAGCAGCAGCCGCGGUAAUACGAAGGGGGCUAGCGUUGUUCGGAUUUACUGGGCGUAAAGGGCGCGUAGGCGGCGAUCAAAGUCAGGCGUGAAAUUCCUGGGCUCAACCUGGGGGCUGCGUUUGAUACUUGAUUGCUAGAGUGGGGAAGAGGGUCGUGGAAUUCCCAGUAUAGAGGUGAAAUUCGUAGAUAUUGGGAAGAACACCGGUGGCGAAGGCGGCGACCUGGUCCUUGACUGACGCUGAGGCGCGAAAGCGUGGGGAGCAAACAGGAUUAGAUACCCCAGUAGUCCCUGUCUCUUAUAC